rnacentral:rRNA from 1 species
GAUGAACGCUGGCGGCGUGCCUAAUACAUGCAAGUCGAGCGAACAGACGAGGAGCUUGCUCCUCUGACGUUAGCGGCGGACGGGUGAGUAACACGUGGAUAACCUACCUAUAAGACUGGGAUAACUUCGGGAAACCGGAGCUAAUACCGGAUAAUAUAUUGAACCGCAUGGUUCAAUAGUGAAAGACGGUUUUGCUGUCACUUAUAGAUGGAUCCGCGCCGCAUUAGCUAGUUGGUAAGGUAACGGCUUACCAAGGCGACGAUGCGUAGCCGACCGGAGAGGGUGAUCGGCCGCCCUGGAGCGGGGACACGGUCCAGGCUCCUACGGGAGGCAGCAGUAGGGAAUCUUCCGCAAUGGGCGAAAGCCUGACGGAGCAACGCCGCGUGAGUGAUGAAGGUCUUCGGAUCGUAAAACUCUGUUAUUAGGGAAGAACAAAUGUGUAAGUAACUAUGCACGUCUUGACGGUACCUAAUCAGAAAGCCACGGCUAACUACGUG